CAGCCGCCGCGGGAAUACGAGGGGGGCAAGCGUUGUUCGGAAUUAUUGGGCGUAAAGGGUGCGUAGGCGGUUUGACAAGUCUUAUGUGAAAUCUUCGGGCUCAACCCGAAGUCUGCAUGAGAAACUGUUGAGCUUGAGUAUGGGAGAGGUGAGUGGAAUUUCCGGUGUAGCGGUGAAAUGCGUAGAUAUCGGAAGGAACACCUGUGGCGAAAGCGGCUCACUGGACCAUAACUGACGCUGAGGCACGAAAGCUAGGGGAGCAAACAGGAUUAGAUACCCCCGUAGUCCCUGUCUCUUAUCC
rnacentral:rRNA from 1 species